UAUUUUGCUAAUAUUACACGGCUCGACUAAUGUUAAACGAAACGACUUUUUGGCAAAGUCGGUAAUCUUGGAUCAACCGAUGAGAUAUCCGAAACACAAGGAUCGGAGUUGCGGUUGAGGUUGAUAGAGUGGGAUUUAGGGAUAGCGAUGCGAGAUAGAAAGGGAGAGAAAAGAGGGGAAAUGCGAGAGGAGAGUCGGGAGAUGGCGCGAAAAAGCAGAUCGACGGAAUAGCGUGUACAGAUUAUCUAUGAGUUUGCGGACCGAUGGAGCGUUUAAUGGAUUACCGAUGCUUCGAUGAUUUCGAUUUUAUCGAAAUAGCUCGUGUUCGGUAAAGGCACGUAGUACCCGUCACGCCUAGAUACAUAUUUUUCUAAAAUACACGACAAGCAACAACGGGACGAAACACGCCAACUUGCCAAAUAUAGCCGUAUAUCGAUACCUACGUGUAUUUUUUCUUUUUUUUUCUUCACUUUUCAACGCGUUAUCGUAUUCCAACAUUUAUUUUUGCCGUUUUGUCGAAUAAAACGAUUCGUCGUAGAAACUUGAAUCGAUUUCUCGACAACUCGUAAGCUCGACGCGAUAUCAAAAUUAGUAGCGGUAAAAAACGUUGAUUUACGAAUAUACAAGAUACGCUAUUGGUAAUCGGUAACGUAUCGAUAAAUUUGAAAAGUUGUAAAAAAAAAAAAGGAGGUUAAGCAAAGGUGAGAAUGUUUGUAGAUAUGCCGCGAUUAACAGCCGAGACAAGUGAAAACCGUCAGAGGAUCCGACCGCUUGCUCUUGCGUCGCAUUCCACCGACGAAAAUAGACUUUUUCCACGUGCCAAAUUUUACCGAUUCUCUUCGAAUCCUCCCAAUGAUCCCAAUAUGACGAUUCGACCAACGAACGUCGUUCGUCCGAUCGUUACCGUGCAUUCGACAACUCGAAACGAAACUUCACCUGUGCGUGAGUGUACGUGUUGAAUACAACUACACGUGUACUUGGAAAUCUAUACAUAUAUAAAGACAUAUUUACCGGCUUACACGUACGAAUCUAGCCAUCGAUUCAAACGUACCAAAUCAACUCUGCGAAAAGCUAAUCUCGCCCUCUUCAUAUCCUAAUCUUCGUGAGAAAAUUAUUCGACGAUAGUCUAAAUAUAUAAAGGCGUAACAAACAAAUCUCUUGGUUGGCUUUAAAAACCUUUAAAUAAAGCUGAGCGAAAGAGAAGAAAACAACAAGGAAAAACAAAGAGUGGAGAAAAAGGUAACGUAUAGAGAGAAGGCACCAGUACGGCGGAUGUGGCUACGGAUACAGUUGCGGAUGUCGAGUGCGAUUGUUUCCUUUUACGUUGUUCUUUACUUUACCUUCUCUCGUGUAAACGUGCAAUAAAAACGCCAACGAUACGGCUUUCCGUUAUCUAACGUUGUUAGUUAAACAAAAGGAAUAAUAAUCUGUGACCGAGUGCAGUCUUGUUCCACGCGUUUAUUUGGAUAGAUUUACGAUUAACCGUUCAACGAUCAAGUUGAAAGGGUUGUAGUGCGCGUUUUACGGUACAUAUUCUCGCGAUAGCCGAGUUUCAUUUUUCCUUACCCUCCCGUUCAUCGACCGAAAAAUCAACGGAAGAGGAGUAAUUCUCUCCGUCGCAACAUGCUGCUCAAGGAGGAGGAGGAGGAGGAGGAGGAAGAGGAGGAGAUGUGAGGGAAAACGUAAAAUGAGCUGCGCGCAAACUCAAGUACCUGGGAGAGAGAGGGUUGGCGAUGCAAGUGUCGUGCCUGGAACGAGCCCGGGGUGUCGAUGGCGUAGCUGGUCGGCGUCUUGAAGAUUCUCCGGGACUCUCAACGAUGCCAGCAGCAUAGCUUCCCCGUUACGAAUCCAGUUGGCUACGUGAGUAGCGUCGGUUUGCAACUGUACCAAUUGAGAAGCUUGCUCCAGUCGAACU